rnacentral:rRNA from 1 species
AUUGAACGCUGGCGGCAGGCCUAACCCAUGCAAGUCGAGCGGAGCGGCGGACGGGCGAGUAAUGCCUAGGAAUCUGCCUGGCAGUGGGGGAUAACGUCCGGAAAAGGGCGUUAAUACCGCAUACUAUCAGAUGAGCCUAGGCCGGAUUAUCUAGUUGGUGGGGUAAAGGCCUACCAAGGCGACGAUCCGUAACUGGUCUGUGAGGAUGAUCAGUCCACGCAGAACUGAUACACGGUCCAGACCCCUACGGCAGGCACCAGUUGGGAAUAUUGACCAAUGGGAGCAAGCCAGUUCCAGCCAUGCCGCGUGUGUGAAGAAGGUCUUCGGAUUGUAAAGCACUUUAAGUUGGGAGGCGUUACCAACAGAAUAAGCACCGUCUAACUUCGUGCCAGCAGCCGCGGUAAUGC